rnacentral:rRNA from 1 species
UCUAUUUGGAGUUAUAAAAAGUCUAGCCUGCCCACUGAUUUAGGAAAAUAAAUUUAAGGGCCGCGGUAUUAUGACCGUGCAAAGGUAGCAUAAUCAUUAGGUUUUUAAAUGAGAUCUUGUAUGAAUGGUUGGACAAAGAAAAAGCUGUCUUUAAGAUAUUUAUUUAAUUUUACUUUUAAGUGAGAAGGCUUAAAUGUUUUAGUGGGACGAUAAGACCCUAUAAAGCUUUACAUUAAAAUUAUAUAUAAUUAAAUUUUAAAAUAUAAAAAUUUUAUGUAGUUAUUUGUUUUAUUGGGGAGAUAAAGGUAAAAAUUUUAUUAACUGCUUUGUAUCCAAACAUUUAUUGGUGAAUUUUAAAAAAUUAUAGAUCCUGUAUGAGUGUAGAUUAAAAGAUUAAGUUACUUUAGGGAUAACAGUGUAAUUUUUUUUAAGAGUUCAGCUCGAAAAAAAAG